rnacentral:rRNA from 1 species
CGGGUGGGGAUUAGUGGCGAACGGGUGAGUAACACGUGGGCAAUCUGCCCUUCACUCUGGGACAAGCCCUGGAAACGGGGUCUAAUACCGGAUACUGACCUGCCAAGGCAUCUUGGCGGGUCGAAAGCUCCGGCGGUGAAGGAUGAGCCCGCGGCCUAUCAGCUUGUUGGUGAGGUAAUGGCUCACCAAGGCGACGACGGGUAGCCGGCCUGAGAGGGCGACCGGCCACACUGGGACUGAGACACGGCCCAGACUCCUACGGGAGGCAGCAGUGGGGAAUAUUGCACAAUGGGCGAAAGCCUGAUGCAGCGACGCCGCGUGAGGGAUGACGGCCUUCGGGUUGUAAACCUCUUUCAGCAGGGAAGAAGCGAAAGUGACGGUACCUGCAGAAGAAGCGCCGGCUAACUACGUGCCAGCAGCCGCGGUAAUACGUAGGGCGCAAGCGUUGUCCGGAAUUAUUGGGCGUAAAGAGCUCGUAGGCGGCUUGUCACGUCGGUUGUGAAAGCCCGGGGCUUAACCCCGGGUCUGCAGUCGAUACGGGCAGGCUAGAGUUCGGUAGGGGAGAUCGGAAUUCCUGGUGUAGCGGUGAAAUGCGCAGAUAUCAGGAGGAACACCGGUGGCGAAGGCGGAUCUCUGGGCCGAUACUGACGCUGAGGAGCGAAAGCGUGGGGAGCGAACAGGAUUAGAUACCCUGGUAGUCCACGCCGUACACGGUGGGCACUAGGUGUGGGCAACAUUCCACGUUGUCCGUGCCGCAGCUAACGCAUUAAGUGCCCCGCCUGGGGAGUACGGCCGCAAGGCUAAGACUCAAAGGAAUUGACGGGGGCCCGCACAAGCGGCGGAUCAUGUGGCUUAAUUCUACGCAACGCGAAGAACCUUACCAAGGCUUG